UCCCGCUCUGUAGAGAACCAUUGUCUUUUUUCCGGCACCUGAUUAUACGAAGAAAAAACUUGUCAAUCAAGAACACCAUUCAUAUAUGGUUCAUUUGUUUGAUUCUCUUCGUUCGAUGAUUUUUGAGUUCGAAGUGGAUUCUAUUCGGAAAACUUUCAAAAACUUGUUUUAGCCGAUUCCUUAUUAAAUUUUCAAUCAAUCUUUAGAUCGGAACUCUGUAUUCCUUUCCAUUCUCAAUAAUUUGAGCUAAAUUUUUUGAUUUUUUUCUUCUUCUAGGGUUCGUGUUUCUCAUUUCUUCACAUCACUUGUGGGUAAUGAAGAAAGAUUCUGUUUAGCUCCUCCUUCUGAGGAGAAGAAGACUCAAACUCCAGAUCACAGUAUUGAAAAUUCAGUAAUCCAACUCUUUCUCCUCACCAUCUUCAAGGUUGAUUCAUAUUGCACAUCUACCUGCUGAUUUGAGCACUCUGUGACAUCUGAUGCACAAGCUAUUCUUGCUGUGUUUGAACAAAGGGGCACAGAAGGAAGACACGAUUAUUUGAUAUGUUGUCUUUCGUACAUAGUACAAUAUGGAAUAUCUUAUUUGGGAAGGAAUGCGAUUUAGACCUUACAGCAGAAACCAUUCAUCACUCUGUGACUGCCAAAUAUGUUAAGUUUAGCCACUGUGUCGGGUAAUCUAGAUAUGGUACAUCUUGAAAUUCCGACCCCAGCUGGGAAAUUGAAAGUUGCUGCUCAUGUACUUGGUGCUAUAAACGCCAUGUGUGCGUCUCUCAGCCACACUUGCUAAGCCGUCAUUAGGCAAAUAAACGACCUCGCCGAUUCAAUACGUGGAUUGAUAGAUACUCCUCUGAUGAAUUUGGAGCCCAACUCUGCAAACUGAGGAAUUUGCUUAAUUGGCUAAGCAACUCUUUGAUGGAUGAAGAGCUUAAAGUCCUGAUGGAGGUUUAUCACCAAGCUACGAAGCUUGUAGUAGAGUUUUUUUUUGUUCUCCCCUGUCUGUGCGUACUAGCUUAUCCCUGUAUCAGUCAUGCAUAAUCGUGACUGUCUCCUGCUAUUUUCUGUUUUCGACUUUACAUGCACCACUGUGGAUUCUUUACGAUGUUUACAUUGUCAAGUGCCAAAGAGAAGUCAAUAGUUGGGCUGCCUCCUCGUCCUGAUAGAAGGCUUCGUCCAGGGAAUUCACAUCUUCAGUGUCACGUGCAGUUUUGAGAAAAACAUGGGAUGCUAUCGCUGUCUUUGAUAAGAGGGAGUUCGAAGAAUGGUUACUUGGAGUUCUGGCCAUUCCGAUUGAUCGUUGGGAAAACAGGUAUCCUGAAGGGUCUAAGACUCUAAGCUUAUCGAUGCAGAUCGUUGGGAAAAAGCUGCGCCUCUGUUAUGGUUGUGUGAAAUUUUUUUUGAAAAGGUUUUUAGAAACAAAGCACUGAAUGCAUCAGUCCAUGUAAUAUCAUGCUGGUGUGAGGAUCUAAUGAGGUCAGCACUUCCAGACGAUGUCUGUCUGCCGCAGGCCGCAGCAAAAUUUUUACAUAUUUCAAUGGUGCAAUUCAGAAGUAUGAAAGGGAACAUAGCAAGCCGCAUGGGACUGUUUACAUCUGUUACUCAGUACAAGACUUGCUAUGCCUUCUUAAAGCUGUUACUGGCCUCGUUUUUGGUACAGACCAAUGCAUAAGGGACGUGGGAGGUUGGUUUGGUGUUAAAUUUGUUCCUUUGUUUGAGGGUACGAUGGCGAAACAGAGGGAAUUCUUAGAAAGUGACUAUUAGUCAGAUUGUGAGUUGAAGGGUCCAUCUGGUACUCUUUACGCGGUUUCAAAUUGGCUCGCUAAAAUGCACUCAUCCAGGGUUGUGAUUUAGUCCUUGGUGAAUGCUAAUCUAUAUCUGCGGGUCUCUCUCUCUUGGAACAAGAAGUUUGGGAUGUCCUACAUAGUGAUUGGUGGUAUGCACAGAUAGUCAUGGUGGUUUAAUGACCAGGACCUUGAAUGAUAUAUCAGGCAAUAAAAUGUCAAGGGUGUGGAGAAGAAGUUGAAGAAGCAGAAGGUUAUCAAUGUUUUUGUUCUAAAUUUUUUGUGUUCUCUGCAAAAUGAUGGUAAUAGUUGUUCAGUAGCAGCAGUAGUAAAAUUGAAUGAAUAUUACUAUUCAUGCAUUAGUCAUGCGGAUUUUACAUACUCUGUAAAUUCUUCCUGUUAUAUAUAGUGCCCAUAGGCAAAACUUAUUCUGA